CAAAAGCCAAAUCUUCGAAACCUUAUGAGAUGUGAUAGGGUUACAAGGGUAAAACAGGAACUCAGAAUAAAAAUAAGUUAAUCGAGAAAGCUCCAAAUAAACACCACUCGUCCGCCUCUCUGUCUCUCACCAAAAUAAAAAACUCAAUCUCUCUCUCUCUCUCUCCAUCGAGAAACACUAAACUGCUAUAAUCAUUACCUCUCUUCGAUUUCUCAAACCCUAUCUGGCUCUCUACCCAUAUGCUUCAGAUCCGCAUUAAAAAAGCUAAGUUUUUUGUUAUGUCCUUCUUUCUUAUUUGAUCAGUUUGUUCUUGUUUCACGAUUUUAACCUGAGAUUUUUUAUAUAUUUUCUCCAGAUCUGCUAUCCGCAGUCAUCUGUUCAUAGGAAAAGAUCUGGCUUUACUUUUAGAGAUUAUCUCAGAUCCAGCCUUUUACCCAAUUGAAGGCAAGUUCACAUACUCUGUUUUUUUUGUCUUGGUUUUAAUUUCUCGGUUUUUUACAUGUAACAGAUGUUUUAAGCAUGAUUUUUUGUUUAAACAGUUUGUUUUUCCUACCCUUAAAACUUCUCUGAAUUAAUAUCCCAUUUAUAUGACCACUCUAAUGUCUUCUUAUACGACUACGCAAGUGUUGCAUAUUCUUGACCUUUUCACACUUCAUUUGCAUUUUAGUCUAACAAUAUAAAUCCGCAAAUAUCUUGUGUUUAUACUUAUUGAAAUUAGUCUUCCGACAUAUAUAAUCUAGGAUCUAUUUGGAUUAUUUGGGCCAUCAGUCUCAUUCGUUUCAUUAACAUCUGAGUCUUUGAACUUUGUUUAUCUUUCCUAGCUUGAUAUUUUAAUAUUAGUUUUUUUGCGCCUCUUUGUUUUUGAUCAUUUAUUCUCUCAAUUGGAUAGUAUAGUGAAGUAAAUAAUGUAGCUAUGACUUUACCUGUAGCAUUUACCUGUAGCAUCUUAAAAAUAUGAAUUAAAAAUGAUUUAGCUAAUUUGGGCUUAUGUUUAUAAGCAUAGAAGUUUAUACUACAAGUUCGUUUAGAUUUUUCCAGUAUCAACUCAAACAUAGUUUUUACUCAAGCAUAGUUUUUACUCAAGCAUAGUUUUUACUCACACUAAAACCCACAUGUAGUGUGCAAAAGUAAGUACCCCCCCACCUCUGUUCCUCACGGUUUUUCUGCAAAGGACCCACCCUCCUUGAACUUCAGCGUCCAUCACAAUGUCCCCAUCAUCAUCAAACCUGUACAAGCCAGUGGCGAUCCUAACAUUGUAGAAGUUGAUAGCAUUUUUGCAAGUGGAGGGAGCACUUGUGUUUCUCCACGUAUUGCUGUCUUGAUUAAAGCGGUUGUCAACUCUGUAAAGUCCCUCUACUUCAAUAGGUAUGGUAAAUGAGUUUGAUUCUGGGAAUAGGUUGUGGUUGUUAUAAAGAAUGCUCCACUCAGCAGCGUUGAGCCAGCGCUGUGUUGAUGUUUGAAGCACAGCUGCUACAUCUGUCAAAAAUAGCAACCAAACAUAUGAGAUUUAUAUAUAUAUUAUAAGCAACUGUUUUAUUCUGAAAUUUUUAAAUCUUGCCUUAAUUGUACAAAUUCCAUAGAUCUAGGAGACUAUUCUAAGAUUCCAUAGAUCUGUAACACUGUGCUACGAUUUCUACACUGUUCUAAGAUUCCAUAGAUC
rnacentral:lncRNA from 1 species